rnacentral:rRNA from 1 species
CGGUGUUCAACUGGCGUGCCCGCGGGACGUCCUGCCGGUGAGCUCAGCCCGCGAGGGCGGCUCAACUUGAAAUCCCAUCGCGGUGCUCUUCAUUGAGUGUCGAGGUGGGCCGGCACGAUUACUUUUGAACAAAUUAGAGUGCUUAAAGCAGGCUAAAAUUUUGCCUGAAUACUGUGUAUAUGGAAUAAUGGAAUAGGACCUCGGUUCUAUUUUGUUGGUUUUCGGAACCCCGAGGUAAUGAUUAAUAGGAACGGAUGGGGGCAUUCGUAUUGCGACGUUAGAGGUGAAAUUCUUGGAUCGUCGCAAGACGGACUAAAGCGAAAGCAUUUGCCAAAAACGCUUUCAUUGAUCAAGAACGAAAGUUAGAGGUUCGAAGGCGAUCAGAUACCGCCCUAGUUCUAACCAUAAACUAUGCCAGCUAGCGAUCCGCCGACGUCCCUCUGAUGACUCGGCGGGCAGCUUCCGGGAAACCAAAGCUUUUGGGUUCCGGGGGAAGUAUGGUUGCAAAGCUGAAACUUAAAGGAAUUGACGGAAGGGCACCACCAGGAGUGGAGCCUGCGGCUUAAUUUGACUCAACACGGGAAACCUCACCAGGCCCAGACACUGGAAGGAUUGACAGAUUGAGAGCUCUUUCUUGAUUCAGUGGGUGGUGGUGCAUGGCCGUUCUUAGUCGGUGGAGCGAUUUGUCAGGUUAAUUCUGAUAACGGACGAGACUCUGACCUGAUAACUAGACGCACUUGCGGCAUCUCAAAGGUCCGCCGGCGGCUGGCUUUGCGCCCGUCGUCGCGCGCGAUUUUUACUGCCGGCGUACAAUAAAUUCUUCUUAGAGGGACAAGUGG